CUGGACAUGAGCCCCAAGGUGCCCUGGGCUGAGCCCCAGCGCGGGCAGCGGCUCCGGGGGGAUUCUGCCCCUGGGCCCCGCUCAGGGAGGCGGGGCUGACACAGCGCUUGGAAACCGGCGGCGGCGGAACGGGAGCGGCGGGAGCGGCACGGCACGGAACGGGAGGGACCGCCUUCAGCACUGCCUUCAGCACCGCCUUCAGCGCAGCGCCUCUCAGCUCCACACAGCACUUCUCAGCGCCUGUCCUUUCCUUUCCUCUCCCCUCUGCUCCUCUCGGCUCCAAGCUGAGCAUCGCCUCUCCUGUCCUGUCCUGUCCUGUCCUGUCCUGUCCUGUCCUGUCCUCUCCUCUCCUCUCCUCUCCUCUCCUCUCCUCUCCCAACCACGGGUGCGGAGGCCCCACCAGGAAACUCCGCUCCACUACGCCCACCCUCAGCAAGCACCAAGGUGAGCAGGAUCAGAGAUGAGCCAGCACCCCCCGCCACCCAAGUGAGGGCAGGAACGGAGAUGACCUGAUCCCCUAAAUCCCCACAGAAGACAUCGGUUUGGGUCGAAGAGCAACAAGGGUGCGGAGGCCCCACCAGGAAACUCCGCUCCACCAAGAUCUCCUCCAGCCCAGCAGCCAGGUGAGAAGGAACGGAAAUGAUCGGAACCCCCGUGGAAGGAAGGGCGCCGGAUGUGACCUGCUCCCCUAAAUCCCCACAGAAGACAUCGAUCCAAGUGGAAGAGGAACAACCACGGGUGCGGAGGCCCCACCAGGAAACUCCGCUCCACCAGGCCCACCCUCUGCAAGCACCAAGAGAAGCUGGAUCCGAGGCUGGACAUGAGCCCCUAGGUACCCUGGGCUGAGCCCCAGCGCGGGCAGCGGCUCCGGGGGGGAUUCUGCCCCUGGGCCCCGCUCAGGGAGGCGGGGCUGACACAGCGCUUGGAAACCGGCGGCGGCGGAACGGGAGCGGCGGGAGCGGCACGGCACGGAACGGGAGGGACCGCCUUCAGCACUGCCUUCAGCACCGCCUUCAGCGCAGCGCCUCUCAGCUCCACGCAGCACUUCUCAGCGCCUGUCCUUUCCUUUCCUCUCCUCUCUGCUCCUCUCGGCUCCAAGCUGAGCAUCGCCUCUCCUCUCCUCUCCUCUCCUGUCCUGUCCUGUCUUGUCCUCUCCUCUCCUCUCCUCUCCUCUCCUCUCCUCUCCUCUCCUCUCCUCUCCUCUCCUCUCCUCUCCUCUCCUCUCCCAACCACGGGUGCGGAGGCCCCACCAGGAAACUCCGCUCCACAACGUCCACACUCACCAAGCACCAAGCACGAUCAGAGAUGAGGCAGCGCCUCCCGCCGCCCCAGUGAGGGCAGGAUGGCAGAGAUGAGCUGCUCCCCCUCAUUCCCACUGAAGACUUCGAUCCGGGUCGAAGAGCAACAACAAGGGUGCGGAGGCCCCACCAGGAAACUCCGCUCCACAACGUACAUCCUCAUGCCAAGCACCAAGGUGAUCAGGAUCAGAGAUGAGGCGCCUCCGGCGCAGAACGAUACAGGAGGGACCGCCUUCAGCACCGCCUUCAGCACCACCUUCAGCGCAGCGCCUCUCAGCUCCACACAGCACUUCUCAGCACCUGUCCUUUCCUUUCCUCUUCCCUCUGCUCCUCUCGUCUCCAAGCUGAGCAUCGCCUCUCCUGUCCUGUCCUGUCCUGUCCUGUCCUGUCCUGUCCUCUCCUCUCCUCUCCUCUCCUCUCCUCUCCUCUCCUCUCCUCUCCUCUCCUCUCCCAACCACGGGUGCGGAGGCCCCACCAGGAAACUCCGCUCCACUACGCCCACCCUCAGCAAGCACCAAGAGAAGCUGGAUCCGAGGCUGGACAUGAGCCCCUAGGUACCCUGGGCUGAGCCCCAGCGCGGGCAGCGGCUCCGGGGGGAUUCUGCCCCUGGGCCCCGCUCAGGGAGGCGGGGCUGACACAGCGCUUGGAAACCGGCGGCGGCGGAACGGGAGCGGCGGGAGCGGCACGGCACGGAACGGGAGGGACCGCCUUCAGCACUGCCUUCAGCACCGCCUUCAGCGCAGCGCCUCUCAGCUCCACGCAGCACUUCUCAGCGCCUGUCCUUUCCUUUCCUCUCCUCUCUGCUCCUCUCGGCUCCAAGCUGAGCAUCGCCUCUCCUCUCCUCUCCUCUCCUGUCCUGUCCUGUCUUGUCCUCUCCUCUCCUCUCCUCUCCUCUCCUCUCCUCUCCGCUCCCAAUCACGGGUGCGGAGGCCCCACCAGGAAACUCCGCUCCACAACGUCCACACUCACCAAGCACCAAGCACGAUCAGAGAUGAGGCAGCGCCUCCCGCCGCCCCAGUGAGGGCAGGAUGGCAGAGAUGAGCUGCUCCCCCUCAUUCCCACUGAAGACUUCGAUCCGGGUCGAAGAGCAACAACAAGGGUGCGGAGGCCCCACCAGGAAACUCCGCUCCACAACGUACAUCCUCAUGCCAAGCACCAAGGUGAUCAGGAUCAGAGAUGAGGCGCCUCCGGCACGGAACGAUGCAGGAGGGACCGCCUUCAGCACCGCCUUCAGCACCGCCUUCAGCGCAGCGCCUCUCAGCUCCACGCAGCACUUCUCAGCGCCUGUCCUUUCCUUUCCUCUCCCCUCUGCUCCUCUCGUCUCCAAGCUGAGCAUCGCCUCUCCUGUCCUGUCCUGUCCUGUCCUGUCCUGUCCUGUCCUGUCCUGUCCUGUCCUGUCCUCUCCUCUCCUCUCCUCUCCUCUCCUCUCCCAACCACGGGUGCGGAGGCCCCACCAGGAAACUCCGCUCCACUACGCCCACCCUCAGCAAGCACCAAGGUGAGCAGGAUCAGAGAUGAGCCAGCACCCCCCGCCACCCAAGUGAGGGCAGGAACGGAGAUGACCUGAUCCCCUAAAUCCCCACAGAAGACAUCGGUUUGGGUCGAAGAGCAACAAGGGUGCGGAGGCCCCACCAGGAAACUCCGCUCCACAAAGAUCUCCUCCAGCCCAGCAGCCAGGUGAGAAGGAACGGAAAUGAUCGGAACCCCCGUGGAAGGAAGGGCGCCGGAUGUGACCUGCUCCCCUAAAUCCCCACAGAAGACAUCGAUCCAAGUAGAAGAGGAACAACCACGGGUGCGGAGGCCCCACCAGGAAACUCCGCUCCACCAGGCCCACCCUCUGCAAGCACCAAGAAAAGCUGGAUCCGAGCCGAAGAGCACUAACGAGGGGUGCAGAGGCCCCAGCAGGAACUCGGCUCCACAACGACCUCGUCCAGCCCCUCCCCGAGGGGAGCAGGAACAGAAACGCCCCAGCCCCAUGCACGGCGGAGGAGCAGGAGGACAGCCAUGAGCUGAGCCCCACAGCGGCGCGUGGAGAUGAACCUGGCCCCCCUCAGUCAGCCCAGGAGCACGGAGAGCAGCCGGUGCCUCUGUCCCUCUCACGCCAGGGCAUUGGCAGGUUAAGGGCAGAGGACGGAGAGGAAGAGUGAUCAGAGGGACACUGACCCUCCCUGGGCCUCCUCAGCGUGAAACGUGGCAUUGGGUUUAGGGCUGCGCCUUUAGGAAGGGUCUGGAAUUGGGGCUGCAUUUGAGGUCAGGGUUAACCCUCUGCCAGCCCCAUUGCUGGGGGGCCCAGGCCCAUGGGGAGGGUUCUGUGUGUGGGGAAGAGGGAUCCUCUGGAAUUUUGGGUCUCUCCCAGUGCUGUGGGGCGCUGAGCUCUGGCAGUUUGAUACCCAGCCAUUGGUUACUUCCUUUUCCUACUUGAUUCCUUCCAGUGCUUGUUAAU